rnacentral:lncRNA from 1 species
GGUUGGAGUUUGGGGUAUGGUGUGUAUUUGAAGAUUCAAACUCCACGUGGUCUUCAGGAGCUCAAACACUCUCUUCAGGACCCCAGCCCAUGGAAUGCUGUGAUCAACAUUCAGAGUCGAUCAUCCUACAUCAAUUACCCUAAUCUAGGAAAUCCCACAGAGCCAGGACCAAAGGUUUGUUCCUUUAUGAUGCUCAAACCGUUUUGCAUUGACAAUAGUUUAAGACAUUUUGUUUUUCAGAUGAAAAAGUAUAUGUCAGUGUUUAAUUUGGGAUUUCUAAAAAUAUAACUGAAGUCUACUUACCAUAUGUUACUGUAAAUGAGUACCUACCUACUAAGCAUUUUGAGCAUGUGAUCUCACUGUGGAAACAAAUGGACCACUUUCCACUGGGUGUCUGUAUUUCUGACUCAAAUGGUCAUUAAAAGAAGAUAGUUUGAGGAAAUCCAUUUCAAUUGCUCUGCAUUGGAGAAAUCAUUAUUCUACGUGCACAGUUUUGAAGACCCAAUAUGACUAUUUUAGGCAUCAACUCUUCCUUAGAAAUUGUUAGUUUGGAGGGAUCAAAUUACAGAGAUUACUUCAUAUUUGGGAAAAGAAAACACAACAACCAAAAAUGCUAUUGCUAAAUGCACUUGCCAGAGUCCCUUGAAGACUUUGAAAGGUGGAAACCAAUUUCUUUUGAGAGGUUGCAUUUUUACCAGAUCAUUUUAUUUGACUGUAUGUGCUUUUAAAAUAUAUGACCCCUGCAUCUGAGGAACAGGUCUUCACGGCAACAUGAAGAAGAAACAUGUGUGGAUACACUGCUGCAUUUGGGGGCUUUUAUUUCCUAGUAAAACCCACUGUUCUUGGUUGAGAGGCAGCCUUUGAAAUCUGGGCCCAGGAAGAAACACAGUGUGAUCUCCCGAGAGGAACUGUUCUCUAUGUUCACACACCAUUUGUUUCAAAAACGCUUAAAGUCCAUGUGCUGAAUUUCUGUUUCUGUGCUGUGAGCUAUUGUUACCUCACUAAAGGGACAAAUGAAUUUUGACAGUGAGGAUACUGUGCAAACCUUUUUCAUAAGUAAUCAGCCAUUUUGGAUUCACACCCACUUUGGGUUUGAUCUUUGAUAAAAAGAAAACUUGAAGGAAACUGUCGCUUCAGAAAUGUUCAGAAACAACAAGAAAAAUACACAAAAGCUGGCCCAUGUGGACCUUCCUUGAUGUGCUGUCCAGCACAUGCCAGCGGCUGUUUGUGCUGUCACAGCAUCUAAGAACCGCAGAUGAAAUAGGAGGUCACUGUAGAAAAACAUCACAAAUAGUGUCAAACUCAGAUCUCCACGGGGCAUCUGUUGUUGGCUCAGCUUGAAAGUAUCAAAACAUAUUACUCACUUGUAAAAUAGAGCAUGUUCC